UGCUAGACCCUAAAUUGGAAAC
rnacentral:miRNA from 1 species